AUUGAACGCUGGCGGCAUGCCUUACACAUGCAAGUCGAACGGUAACAGGUCUUCGGAUGCUGACGAGUGGCGAACGGGUGAGUAAUACAUCGGAACGUGCCCAGACGUGGGGGAUAACGAGGCGAAAGCUUUGCUAAUACCGCAUACGAUCUAAGGAUGAAAGCAGGGGACCGCAAGGCCUUAUGCGUUUGGAGCGGCCGAUGGCAGAUUAGGUAGUUGGUGGGAUAAAAGCUUACCAAGCCGACGAUCUGUAGCUGGUCUGAGAGGACGACCAGCCACACUGGGACUGAGACACGGCCCAGACUCCUACGGGAGGCAGCAGUGGGGAAUUUUGGACAAUGGGCGAAAGCCUGAUCCAGCAAUGCCGCGUGCAGGAUGAAGGCCUUCGGGUUGUAAACUGCUUUUGUACGGAACGAAAAGGCUCUGGCUAAUACCUGGGGCACAUGACGGUACCGUAAGAAUAAGCACCGGCUAACUACGUG
rnacentral:rRNA from 1 species